rnacentral:rRNA from 1 species
GACGAACGCUGGCGGCGUGCCUAAUACAUGCAAGUCGAACGAGAGCGACCGGUGCUUGCACUGGUCAAUCUAGUGGCGAACGGGUGAGUAACACGUGGGUAACCUGCCCAUCAGAGGGGGAUAACAUUCGGAAACGGAUGCUAAAACCGCAUAGGUCUUCGAACCGCAUGGUUUGAAGAGGAAAAGAGGCGCACGCUUCUGCUGAUGGAUGGACCCGCGGUGCAUUAGCUAGUUGGUGAGGUAACGGCUCACCAAGGCCGUGAUGCAUAGCCGACCUGAGAGGGUGAUCGGCCACAUUGGGACUGAGACACGGCCCAAACUCCUACGGGAGGCAGCAGUAGGGAAUCUUCCGCAAUGGACGCAAGUCUGACGGAGCAACGCCGCGUGAGUGAAGAAGGUGUUCGGAUCGUAAAACUCUGUUGUUAGAGAAGAACAAGUGCUAGAGUAACUGUUAGCGCCUUGACGGUAGCUAACCAGAAAGCCACGGCUAACUACGUG